rnacentral:tRNA from 1 species
GGGGCUGUGGCGAAAUUGGCAGACGCGCGGGAUUUAGGAUCCCGUUCCGCAAGGAGUGCAGGUUCGAUUCCUGUCAGCCCCA